UCGGGACUCCCUGGGCCUGCUCCUUUGGCGGGAGACCAGGCGGGACAGGGGCAGGUGACCAGGGACAGUGGCCAUGGACCUGCAGGGCACAGAGCACCGG
rnacentral:sRNA from 1 species